CAACAGGGAUUGCCUCAGUAACUGCGAGUGAAGCGGCAAAAGCUCAAAUUUGAAAUCUGGCGCCUCCGGCGUCCGAGUUGUAAUUUGGAGGGACAUCUUCGGGGCUGGCGCCGUCCUAAGUUCCUUGGAACAGGACGUCACAGAGGGUGAGAAUCCCGUGCCUGGGCGGAUGCCCAGCUCCAUGUGAAGUGUCUCCGACGAGUCGAGUUGUUUGGGAAUGCAGCUCAAAAUGGGUGGUAAAUUUCAUCUAAAGCUAAAUAUUGGCGAGAGACCGAUAGCGCACAAGUAGAGUGAUCGAAAGAUGAAAAGCACUUUGAAAAGAGAGUUAAAAAGUACGUGAAAUUGUUGAAAGGGAAGCGCUUGCGACCAGACUCGACCUUUGGCGAUCAGCCGGGCUUCGGCUCGGUGCCAUCGCCAUUGGUUGGGCCAGCAUCGGUUCUGACGGCGGGAUAAAAGGCGAAGGAAUGUGGCCUCCUUCGGGGGGUGUUAUAGCCUUCGUCAAAAUGCCGCCAGUCGGGACCGAGGACCGCGCUUCGGCUAGGAUGCUGGCGUAAUGGUCUUAAGCGACCCGUCUUGAAACACGGACCAAGGAGUCUAACAUCUAUGCGAGUGUUCGGGUGGAAAACCCUUGCGCGUAAUGAAAGUGAACGGAGGUGGGAACCCUUCGGGGUGCACCAUCGACCGGUCCUGACGUCUUCUGAAGGAUCUG
rnacentral:rRNA from 1 species